rnacentral:lncRNA from 1 species
UUGCAUUUGAUUACUCUAGGAAUCUUCGACAAUCUUUUCCUCCCAAUUCUAGGAAUACCUCUCUCGAUAAACCUUUCUUUUAAAAACCCUUAGCAAUAAUGUUUGCAUUCUAUUCAAAUAUUAAUCCUAUUCGAAUCCUAUGACAACUCCCUUUGAAUAUCAUCCAAAUGUAAUCCUGCUAAUUUCAUCACUCAACCUUUUCCAAAUAUUUCCUUUCUUAGGAACCCUUUAAUUUGAAUAUUAGUUCUAUUCAAACCAUUAGGAGAUCAUUAUUCAAUCUUAGUCACAUCCAAAUACCUUAAACUCCGAACCCUUCCCAAAAAUCCUAUUCCUAUGCCCAAUUCCAGUUCACACUCCAAAACCCUUUCAAAUUUGAAAUCCAACUCAAAUUUGAAAUCAAAACCUUGUUCAAAUAAAUAAAAAACCCACUAUUCUUUAAUCAGGCCGCAACGUCGUUUUUGGUCUGUUCUCGCACUCAGCCUGGCUCACCUCUACCUCCCCUCCACAUGCGCAGGCCACCCAGCCCACCUUUUCCACCCGGCCCAGCUUCCCUCCCCAACCCACUAGGUCACCCCCUCCAUGCGGCUCAGCCCAGCCACCAGGCCCAGGCCGCCUCCUCCUCGCACGAGGCCUGCUGCAGCCCACCACACGCUGGCCCACCAGCCCACCUCUCCUACUCGGCCUGGCUAGGAUGCCUCCCCCUCUUCUCUAUCCCCCAGCACCGCCGUUGUGUUGUACCACCACAGGAGGACCCUCCCCCUUGGCCACCAGAUACAUCCCGUCCCUCCUCUUCCCCUGCUUGCACACACACGUGAUCCAUGCCGCCACUGCACACACCGCUGGGCAUCGGUGCGGUCACGGCUACUACCCGCACCACACCGGCAGAUGGCCGCCUCGCCUGGAUGCGACCCCCCCUCCUCCCCCAUCCGAGCUUAUCCACCGCCAUCAGAACGUUGCCCCAGGGCACCCUCAUCCACUCUGGCCGAGACUUCCCC